GACGAACGCUGGCGGCGUGCCUAAUACAUGCAAGUAGAACGCUGAAGGAGGAGCUUGCUCUUCUGGAUGAGUUGCGAACGGGUGAGUAACGCGUAGGUAACCUGCCUGGUAGCGGGGGAUAACUAUUGGAAACGAUAGCUAAUACCGCAUAAGAGUAGAUGUUGCAUGACAUUUGCUUAAAAGGUGCAAUUGCAUCACUACCAGAUGGACCUGCGUUGUAUUAGCUAGUUGGUGGGGUAACGGCUCACCAAGGCGACGAUACAUAGCCGACCUGAGAGGGUGAUCGGCCACACUGGGACUGAGACACGGCCCAGACUCCUACGGGAGGCAGCAGUAGGGAAUCUUCGGCAAUGGACGGAAGUCUGACCGAGCAACGCCGCGUGAGUGAAGAAGGUUUUCGGACCGUAAAGCUCUGUUGUAAGAGAAGAACGAGCGUGAGAGUGGAAAGUUCACACUGUGACGGUAUCUUACCAGAAAGGGACGGCUAACUACGUG
rnacentral:rRNA from 1 species